CAUAGUAGGUGACUAGUCAACCACAUGAGGUCAGUCCCAGUUGCACACUAGAAGGAGCAUUAGCCGGCUAGGUGCAGCCACAUCCAGCAGCAGCAUGUCCUCCCCAUUUCGACUAAGUCCAUUUGAAGGAAUCCUGCACACAUCCGUGCUUCAGCCGAGCCCAUAUCACAACGUCUACGAGCUUUUUUUUUUUUCUCCGUCCAGGUUCAUCACCCACGCAUCCAAGCAGCCGAGUCCCAGCAUGGUUCAGCUUCUUCUACGAGUCCCAGCGUCCGUGCCCCAUUCUCACGUGUUCCCGCGAUGCAAGCGAUUGCAAUCCUCCCGUCUUCUCCGCGUUCAACGAUCCAGCUUCUCCGGAGUUCCAGCCACAUCAGCUCCCAGCCUUCCGUCUUCCUCGC
rnacentral:lncRNA from 1 species